CCNUGAGUUCAAGAGUACGUGAAACCGCCUGGGAGUAAACGGGUGGUUCCCGAAAGUGCGAAAGGGGAGAUUCAGUCUCGCCGCGCGCCGGGCCGUUCCCGCGACAAGGGAUGGUGUUCUCGCGGCCGUGGGGCGACCCACGGUCCGGGAGGGCGACCCACGGUCCGGGAUCGUCACCCCGCGGGUGCNGUUUUUCCCGGCGUCGGAGUGACGCACUUCUCCCCCGGUAGAACGUCGCGAUCCGUCGGUCGCCGUCCUAAGGUCCCCGGUGGAGCCUGCUUCGCCGCGCAUGACCCGGGGAAUCCCGGCCGGGUGCCCGACGGUACGAAGAGAGGAAGGAGUCGGCGCGCCC
rnacentral:rRNA from 1 species